rnacentral:rRNA from 1 species
GACGAACGCUGGCGGCGUGCUUAACACAUGCAAGUCGAACGGAAAGGCCCAGCUUGCUGGGUGCUCGAGUGGCGAACGGGUGAGUAACACGUGGGUGAUCUGCCUCUAACUUCGGGAUAAGCUUGGGAAACUGGGUCUAAUACCGGAUAGGACAAUCGUUUAGUGUCGGUUGUGGAAAGUUUUUUCGGUAAGGGAUGAGCCCGCGGCCUAUUAGCUUGUUGGUGGGGUAAUGGCCUACCAAGGCGCCGACGGGUAGCCGGCCUGAGAGGGUGGACGGCCACAUUGGGACUGAGAUACGGCCCAGACUCCUACGGGAGGCAGCAGUGGGGAAUAUUGCACAAUGGGCGCAAGCCUGAUGCAGCGACGCCGCGUGGGGGAUGACGGCCUUCGGGUUGUAAACCUCUUUCGACAGGGACGAAGCUUUGGUGACGGUACCUGUAUAAGAAGCACCGGCUAACUACGUG